AUGGGAGGGGUCUUCCCUACUCCUCCCACCGGCCCCCUCCCUCCACGCUGCGCUGUAAUUGUGCCUUCGACAGCGGAUCAGCUGCUCCCCGCUCGCCGUAGGCUGCUGGGCUGGGAUGUGGGGCGGUGUACGUCUCCUCUACGAGGCUUGGGGAGGGGGCACAGGUUGAGCAGUGAGGUUGUGCUGAGGCUGCGAUGGGUGGCUGGACGGGAGGGCACGGACCCUCAGCAAGCUUGGCUGCAGGUCACGUCACAGACUCGCUUUCACACAUACGCCACCCUGGGAUGCUGCGUCACUCGGAGGUAUGCACCGGCGCCUGCAUGUGCGGGCGGGCACGAGCGUCCUGUGUGCAUUGGGCGUGCGUGUGACAACGGAGCGCGGGGGGCCUGCGCGCUUUGCCAAACCCCGCAAGGCCCCCGCCCCCGCGCCGCCCCUUCCAGGCCCAGCCGCAACGCCCACCCAGGUGCGCUCCCACCCGUUGUCCUGCAGGCCGAUGGUGGGUUUGACUGCCGGUUCAAGGGCAGGUGGACUGCAGGCGCCAGCCCAGCCCUGAGAGGCCCAGGCGAGCGGGGCAGGUGGGGGGAGGUGCAGGUCUGCCCCGGCUUCAGCGUCCCAAGUACCAGCCACCUGUGGCUCCGCACCGAGAGCCCGUGGCAGGCGGUUCUGGACAAAUGCCCUCUCUCCGCUUCUUGGCCACGUCCCGCCUGCCACGCAGCCUCCCUCACCUCCGCCACCACCGUGCCGUUGCCGGCAGCGCUUCGUGAUCUGGUCCGUCGGAAGCCCCUUCUGCCUCCCCCACCCCCUCAGGUAGAGAUGAACCAGUCCUGGAACUGGCACCCGUUCUCCACCUCGGGACGCCCAUCUCCCACUGGCUCUCUCAGACCUGCAGAGGUGGAGCUGGCUCGCGGGGAGGGGGCUGCAGUCUCCAUGGGACGGGGGGAGCUGAUGUCCAGCAGUCCUACCCCCACCCGAGCUGCCCCGCUCUACCGCGGACGGGAAUCUGGGCGGCACGUCGGGUCUGCGCAAGGCUGGACACCCACGGCCCUUCUGAAACAUCCAGGCAGGGACUUUUCCCGCGGAGGCCCCGGAUCCUCGGGGGGGCCUGAGGACAACCUCCUGCGCUCGGGCCGACCCCUGCCCGGCCGGCUGCCAACGGGUCAGCCGCAGUUCCGCCCCCCCGCCACUCUCUCACCCCUGCACACGCCCCUCGCACAUCCGUGCACACACACCAGUAUACCUGCGACCCCCGCACACCCACCAUGCACAUCCGCGCAACGCACGCGCACACUCGUGCGCACACUCGGCCCCCCCACCCGCCCCCCAGCUCCGCUCCACAAGGACAAAUGUGCAAAUGGCUCACAGGCGGCUCCAACGGGCAGCUGCAGCAGGAUGCGGUCGCAGGACAAGGAUGCGGAGGAAGGAUGCGGUUCCAGACGCUUCUCAGCUGGGGCGCGGCGGGGGGAGGGGCCGAGCCCCAGACCGAGGCUGCCGUUGUUGCCAGGGAGAUGCAGGCUGGAGGAGGCGAGCACUGCGUCUGCCGCCGCCGCCCCGCCUCCCACGCGUGCCCGUAGGAGCUGCGCCGCCCCCCCAACCUGUCACUGGCUUAGACACGCACACCACAUCCACCCACGGCGCACAUCUCACACACACACCAUUCACACGCUGCACACACAUAUACAUACUCACACCACCGCACUGCAGGCGGGGCGGGGAGGGGACAGACACCCUGGCCAGCAUCCUCCCCUGGGGAUGUCCAGGCUCCCAGGCACCACCUUGUCGGGCGCGCAGUCUUGCCCCCUUUGGUCCGCUUGGUUCAGGCACAGCUGGGUUGGGCCCCCACCCGCCCAGAGGGCUUCCUCCUCACGGCUCGGCGUCCAAAGCCCCGACUGUCCGCUUUCGGAGGGCAAGCCUGUGGCUCCUGGUAGACGCUGUGGCCCAGAGCCUGCACAGCGCCAGGCAUAG
rnacentral:lncRNA from 1 species